rnacentral:rRNA from 1 species
AGAGUUUGAUCCUGGCUCAGGACGAACGCUGGCGGCGCGCUUAACACAUGCAAGUCGAGCGAGAACCAGCCCUUCGGGGCUGGGGACAGCGGCGAACGGGUGAGUAACACGUGGGUAAUCUGCCCUCGGCACCGGAAUAGCCCGGGGAAACCCGGAUUAAUGCCGGAUGGCCUCUCGAGCUCUCGAGCUCGUGAGAAAAGGUAGCUUCGGCCUCCGGCCGAGGAUGAGCCCGCGGCCGAUUAGCUUGUUGGUGAGGUAAUGGCUCACCAAGGCGACGAUCGGUAGCUGGUCUGAGAGGACGAUCAGCCACACUGGGACUGAGACACGGCCCAGACUCCUACGGGAGGCAGCAGUGGGGAAUCUUGCGCAAUGGGCGAAAGCCUGACGCAGCGACGCCGUGUGCGGGAAGAAGGCCCUCGGGUUGUAAACCGCUUUCAGGAGGGACGAAGCCACUCAGGUUAAUAGCCGAGAGGGUGACGGUACCUCCAGAGAAGCCCGGCUAACUACCUGCCAGCAGCCGCGGUA